rnacentral:ribozyme from 14 species
AUACUUACUAAUCAUCUAAAAAAAAAAAAAAAUGAAAAAAAGGAGAAUUAAAUAGAAUAGUAGUAACCAUCACCGUUCCUUCCCCCUCCCUUCUCAUCGUUACUUUCCUUUCCUCGUUCAAUGACCAAAGUCUCGCCACAUUCAUUGUAACA